UACAGAGGGUGCAAGCGUUAAUCGGAAUUACUGGGCGUAAAGGGCGCGUAGGCGGUUAUUUAAGUUAGAUGUGAAAUCCCUGGGCUUAACCUAGGAACUGCAUCUGAUACUGGAUAGCUAGAGUGCAGUAGAGGGUAGUGGAAUUUCCGGUGUAGCGGUGAAAUGCGUAGAUAUCGGAAGGAACACCAGUGGCGAAGGCGGCUACCUGGACUGACACUGACGCUGAGGCGCGAGAGCGUGGGGAGCAAACAGG
rnacentral:rRNA from 1 species